rnacentral:rRNA from 1 species
AUUGAACGCUGGCGGCAGGCCUAACACAUGCAAGUCGAGCGGGGUUUUCGGACCUAGCGGCGGACGGGUGAGUAAUGCGUAGGAAGCUACCCGAUAGAGGGGGAUACCAGUUGGAAACGACUGUUAAUACCGCAUAAUGUCUAAGGACCAAAGUGUGGGACCUUCGGGCCACAUGCUAUCGGAUGCGCCUACGUGGGAUUAGCUAGUUGGUGAGGUAAUGGCUCACCAAGGCGACGAUCCCUAGCUGGUUUGAGAGGAUGGGCAGCCACACUGGAACUGGGACACGGUCCAGACUCCUACGGGAGGGAGCAGUGGGGAAUAUUGGACAAUGGGCGCAAGCCUGAUCCAGCCAUGCCGCGUGUGGGAAGAAGGCCUUCGGGUUGUAAAGCACUUUCAGCGAGGAGGAAGGGGUGUGUGUUAAUAGGACACACCUUUGACGUUACUCGCAGAAGAAGCACCGGCUAACUCUGUGCCAGCCGCCGCGGUAAAAC